UCCACGCCGUAAACGAUGUCAACUAGCCGUUGGGCCUAUUUACAGGUUUAGUGGCGCAGCUAACGCGAUAAGUUGACCGCCUGGGGAGUACGGCCGCAAGGUUAAAACUCAAAGGAAUUGACGGGGGCCCGCACAAGCGGUGGAGCAUGUGGUUUAAUUCGAUGCAACGCGAAGAACCUUACCAGCUCUUGACAUCCAGCGAACUUUCCAGAGAUGGAUUGGUGCCUUUCGGG
rnacentral:rRNA from 1 species